GGUCACUCUGCUCUUUCUGAACCAGCGAGAAGCACAGACCUUGCUGAAGCUAUGCCAUCUUUUAUGUCUGAUGAGGCAGUUUCAUCUGAUUUGAAGAUGAUGAAGAAAAGUUCUUUGCAAGGUUGCUUAUUGAAUAUUACUGGGAAAACAGGAAAAUUAGGAGGAAUGUUCUGGAGUGAUUUAUCUUUUUCAUCAGGGUUAAACUGUUGAGUGGACAUUGUUGCUUACAGAAGUUAGAAGAUACCAGAGAAAGAAUGGACAAUUUUUGUGAGAAACAAGCAAUUCUCUGAUGUUUGAGAUAAUAUUAAAUAAAUCAACCGGAGAUGAUGAUGGAUUAACUAAUUAAGGGAUCCACGUAGUCUUUACAAAGGCACCCAGGAGGUGCUUAUAAUAUCCUUGAGGAUGGAUGUCUUUAUGAUGCAAACAGUGAAAAGAACUCUCCUUGGAAGAAGACAAGAUGAAAGAACUUUGUCUAAGUUCCAAAUGGAAAUGGAACUCCCCCAUUAAAAGUUAAAAAAAGUAAAGAGGAAGACCUAGAGGAAGUUCUUCAAUAGAGAGUCUUCGGCUUUCUCUAUCUGUGAGCCAUUUUGCUCCAGGGAAUAUGUUUCCUCAUAAAUUUUAUGAAGAGACCCCGUGAUCUGGCAUCUUGAGUUGGCAUAUAAUUGAACCCACUCACAGGAUCUUAAUAUCCUCUGCCAAAGGAGUCAUCAUCUGAAUGGGAAAACCUUUGCAAAAUUUUCCCUUCAUCUUACAAGAAUGACUAAUUUUAGUUGUAUCACAAGGAAGCAUUUUGUUCCAAACACAGUUCCUAGAAAUAGCGGGGCAUUCCAGUCCAACAGAUGCAAACCUUCCUCAUGAGAACCAAACCAGCAUGCUUGGGCAACUUGUCAAUGAAGCCAAAUUCCCUGCUUUCAAGAAGAUUGGAAGAAGAUGGGGCUUCUAAAAGAAGAGAUAGUUCCCACAACUCUGUGUGGGUUAUCUGGAUUGUAGAAUAUUGACAGCAAAAUUUAAAUCCCAGGAGGUCUCUUCCUCAUCUCUCUUGGACCCCCUCCUUUGUUACUCUUCUCACUCGUUAAAUGAAAGCAUAUUUCAUCAUGAAGCUAAACAAAACUUAGUUGAACAUUUAAAUUUAUUAUAUAAUUGUGACAAAGUAAAAUAUAAUGUAUAAAUUACACAGUUAUGUAUAUGCAAUGUGUUAGUAAAUUCUGAAAAUGUAAAAUAAAAUUUUAAAAUUAAACUUUAAAAUAAAAAUUUUAAAUUAGAAUUUAAAUUUAAAAAAAAUUUAAAUAUUUUAAAAUUAAAAUUAAAAAUUUAAAUAAAAUUUUAAAAUCUAAAUUUAAAUUUUAAAAGUGCAUGGCAUAUUGGGAACUUCACUGAACUGUAAGAUAGAAAAUGAGUCCCGCUUAUGGCUUUUCUAGUAACUAAUUUAGAUUAGUAGCUUCAUCUUUGUAUUUAGUCAUCCGUAUAAUGAUAGAAUGGACCUAAUUAAUCUGUAACUUAUUUGUAGACCUAAAAUUCUUUGAUUCUGAAUAUAACAUGUUCCUCUGCCUUGUAUCAGAAAUAAUCAUCAAUAUCAGAUGGUGUUUGCUAAGUGUUGAGUGAGCUAAUUAGACAAGGGAAAAGAGGUCAGUUCCAGACAGCAUGGCAAGAUAGUUUCAGGGAACUACUGGGACUUGAGAAGUGAACAGGAAUGUAGUAAGUGAAUUGCAGAGCACUCAAGGCAUUAGGAUGUGGCAUAAGUUAAUGUAUGGAGGAAGUAAACUCCAGAUGUGUUGAGCAUCAGGAAGUAGAUUAACUGGCAUCAUGGAGAAUUAAGACAGGCUAGCAUGAAGUUAGAGACCAAAUUAUGGAGAGUAUUCAGUGCCUGGAUAUUCAGAAUUUAUGCUAACAAAUAGACAACAUCAGACCUUUUUUUUUGAUUGGGGGAGGAGUUGGGUAAAUGGGGGAAUUACAUGGGCAUAAGUUUUUGAAAAAGAGGAAAAUGUUACUCCUUUUCAUUAUCUAUCUGUUUCAGAAUUUUUUUUCAAAAGCAUGGACAGCUAAGAGUUGAUUUCUUCAUUGGGGCAAUAUCUUGGAAUCUCUUAGAUUUCUAUAUUAGCUCAAAUUUUCUUAUUUUAUUGCUUAACCCAAUUUAUCUGAUUAAUUAGAAGUUCAUUAGGGAAUUUUUUGUGUGUGUCACACAUUACUUAGCAGUUAUUAAUUUAUUCCUCAAGUAUUUCAUGUGUGCUGUGCUUAUGGGGUUGGGCUGAGUUCUGGCAAUAAGACAGACACAUUCUUCACUUUCUGAAGCUUCUAGUCUGUCCAUUUACUUUUUUGAGUGAGUGAUAUUUCAGAACUUGUAUUUUUGUAUGGAUUUUGCAUAUUUUAUUGGCAGUGGUAAAUAAUGAUAAUUUUUAAAAUUGGCAGUGGUAAAUAAUGAUAAUUUUUAAAAUUUCUGCAAUAUGCAUCUAGUUUAACAGUUAUCAGAAAUUCUUGUUUCCUCUGAGGAAUAGUUUGCAGCCACCCCAUUCCAUAUCAUUUGUGUUACCAAAUCCUCUAUGUUCAUAAUGAUAAAUUCCAAGUAUGCCCAUCUAAGUAGCGAUUUUUAAACUUAAACCAUUUGAUUUGCAUUAUUCUUCCUGGAAUAAGCAGAUUUGAACUUUAGAAAAUCCUCUGGUUCCUUUGGGGGAAAGAAGGAGUAAGCAGGCAUAACAGAGGAAAUAAAAUAAUCAGUGGGUCAGGGAUGUUCAGUGGAGAAAGUGAAAAUGGAUCCACCAAUUUUGAUUAUAUUUUCAAGACUCAUAAUUUACCCUCAGGAAAGUUAAAAAUGCUUUAUUAGUCCUUUUGUGAUCUCAUUUCUCUUGCAAAUUUCAUUUUCAACUAAUUUCCCUUGUAUAAAAUGUGAGGCAACUUGGGGAUUUUGCAAUGUGAUGUGAUUGUGCUUAGGGAUGGUCUGGGUACCACGUUUUUAAGUAGACCGUAAGAGAAGGGUGACACUUGUCUUAAUUUAGAGAUUUUUAACAUUUUAAGGUACUUAAAAACCAUUAUAAAAUUUAGUAUGGCGUUUAUAGCAGAGUAAUGUGGUGGAAACUUUUUGCACUGAGAGUCCCUGAACUAUAUAAGUAUUCACAAUUCCAGGCCUAGAAGUCGUUAUGAAAUGAAGUUUUACAUAGUGGAGACUAUCCUGGGUUUUAAAGGAUACUUUGGAAUCUAUCUACUUAUGGGGUUCAUACAAAGUCCUGGGAGAUGAUCCAGCAUAUCUGUAAUCAGUGCUUUUAACCAGAUUUCAUUUACUUAGGAGAUUUGUUUACUUUAUCUGAUUAUGAGGGAACUGUAUGAGUCACAAUUCAAAUUACCAAUAAUAUCAGACAGUUAGAUUGAGCAUAGCUGGGUCAAGUUAUUGUUAGUGCUGGGUGACUCUCUGAUGUGAGCAAACUGUGCCCCACGUUUUGACUCAACCUGCUCCGUACCUCUAUGCUGUCAUGGACUGCCAUCAUGGACAACACUAUGCCUUGACAGGGCUCAGUAGUGGUCCCUACUUUUGACAUUUUUCUCCUUUCUCUUCUUCAAUACAAGUCUAUCACUUUUGUGAACUAUGCAUUGUUCAUUAUCCAAGUCCACUGGAAAACUGAAACAUGAACACAAACUUUGCCUCCUCUGGAAGCUUUCCCUGGCCCACUAGCUAGGUCAUAUUCUAGCUGUCACACAUUCUCCUGGCUCUCUGUGCAUCUGCACUGCCCUUUUCCCAGGUAUAAUUAGAUAUUCAUGUAAGUACUUCUUUAAUGUACAUUUUCCCACUGUACUGUAUGCUCUAAGAAUGAAGGGACACUAUAUUGUUUACUGUUCUAUACCCAUUCCCUAACUCAAUGCCUUGUGUAUGUAGGAGGAUCUUAAUCAUUUUACUGAAUGAAUGAAUAGAAUUUCAGCUAGAUUUUAUAUAAUAGUAGGCACUCCAUACAUGUUGAGUUGAAUACUGCCUCAAUUCCAUGUAUAAGACCUUUUCUCAAAUGGGAUUUUGUGGAACAGUGGUUGGAAUUUCAGUCACAGUGACAGUUCCAUGGGAGAUAUAAUGCCUGCUCGGCAUUUGAUUAGAGCUGUUCCUAGU
ensembl:lncRNA MIR2052HG MIR2052 host gene